ACUGACUCGAGUAGACGCGUCUGCGUGCUUGUUGGAAGUUGGAGAUUGAAAGUUGGAAGUUGACUGAGAUUAAGCCAGCAGAAAAUGAAUCGAGGCAUCAAGAGACACAAGGGGCGAGCGGAGAAAAAGAGAAAUCUCAGAGAGCACUGUUGGCUGGCGGGGAAAAAUGCUGUAAACGGACUGAGUUGUUUUUAAAAUCAAGUGCAGCUUGAACCAGCACUAUUGCUAAUACUGCUAGCACUAAUGUUAGCGACACAGCUGAGCCAGCACACCAGGAGGAAGACAGGACAGAGAGGAAUAUGAGCCAGAGGCGGAUGAAGAGGUAGACAUGGAUAACUGCAUGACGGUUUUAGGACUCCAUUUGAUAGACAUCACCCAACCGUCUCUCAAAAGAAAUAUUCACCAGAUAAGAUGGUCGCUACACAGUUGGCCAAAUGUAAGAGCUGGAAUCUCAUGGCAGACUGGAUCUGGAUAAUUAAGUGUGUCCACAGACCUUCAGCAGCAGAGCUCAGGAACAGCUCCUCGUGUCUGCUCUUGUUACCGGGGAUGCUGGGGGCUUGUUUUCCGGUGUUUGCUCCAUGUAUCGGAUGCGACGCUAACGGCGCAACCUCCAUCAUCUCUGCAUUGACCUGACCAAUCACUGUCUCGACCGCUUUUGGACGGUGUGGCGUGAAGUUUGGUACGGACAUGGAUGCUGACCCCAUGAUGAAUUGUGAUGAUCUUUGGCCCAGCCUCACGUAGCAAGCGUUCCCACCUUUAUUUUUUCCCCAAAGGCUGGAUGUUGGUCUGCUGAACUUUAAUCAAAGGAAGGGUAAAGAAAAGAUCCCACACCUGCCGACGCAACAGUAGCUGAUGAUCGCGUGCUUUGAUGCGUCUUCUGAUGAAAAGAUUUUCACACGGUGCAAAAGAACAUCUUGUUUGUCUUUUAGAUGAAGUGUGCAUCUCUCACACUCACAGAUGGUGGCCCAAACAGCCAGUUAUCUGGUAACGUUAUUAGCGCUCCGAGUGUGUGUCUGAGCGGUUUGACUCUCCGCUCGUACCAAAACAGUUUCUGCUUUGCGCCUCGGAGCCAAAAGACCGAAGCUGUUAGGUAUUAGUUACUCAACUCUGAUACAGAUCUUAAUCCUGCUUAAACCCAAAAAGGUUUUCUCGCCAAAACUGCGCUGACAUUUAAUCCGUUGUGCGCCAAAAUAGUGACAAGCGCUGUUAUCACACUUAAAGAUUGGAGUGAUUUAAUUAUCACUCAGUCCUCGACGUAUAAUCCCUCCUGAGAAUUCGAGUUCUUCAAACAUAUUUUGUGGCAGUUGUGGUAACACUUGGUAAGACGGCCCGUAAUUUACAGUGUCAAUAUAAAUCACAUCCUAAUAAACGACUCAAGGGCCUCCAUCAGGAACCAGGUAGGAACCUUUUAAGUAUUUUAUUAGUGUCUGACUCACAUAAUGGUUUAACACUGUAAACUUCAGGCUGUAUUAUAAAGUGUCACCACAGACGUGUAUAUUUGAUCAAACCUCUCAGAGGUCAAACCAGCUCCUGUGAUAAAACCAUCACAGGCGCCUCAUCCUCUCCAGCUCCAGUCACGCGGUCACGCGGGUCGUGUUCAUUAGAGGCACGAAGCAGCAGUCCUGCGGUAUAAAUGUCAGCAGGACUCUUUUGAAGGUGUUUGUUAGCGUGAACUUUGUCAGAUUUUCCCCACAGACCAGAUAGCAGGUAUCUUAUUUGUCUUUGUCAUAAACAUUGUGAAAGAAAAGUACAUUUCUUGUUUUUUUUUGUUUUUUUUUCUGUAACUCUUUAUCAAUUAUUUCCGGAAAAAAAUUAAUCAAACCCGACACAUUUGUUGGAGCAGAAUGAGGAAAAAAAAAAAACCUCAUUUGCAAGUAUUAUUUUCACCCAGGUCUGCUUUUCGGUGGGUUUCAGAGCUGGAGGUGAGUAACCUUGUUAGUUGGAGUGAGAUUCACCCAAAUGAGGCCGCUGAGGCAAUUUAAGCCUCGUGCUUCCUCACAGGCUGGAGGAUUCUCACUCUCCACCACAGAAGAAGACAACCAGGCGUCCUCCAGAGAUUUUAAUUCUCCAUCCAUCUCCCCUGACAGUAUUCAGUGAAUGAAGUAUUCAGAUAUGUUUAUAAAAGUGCUAAUGAAUAUAAAAGUAAUAUAAAAUGUGUCAUAACAUCUGUUACCUCAUUUAGUUUUCACUCCUUCAUUUUGUUUAUAUGAGCAAUGAGGCUGCACUGCUGAGGGUUCAGCUGUGUCCACCUGCCAGAGAGACUUCAUUUUGUUACAGUAAGCUUUUUUUUUCACUAACUUUUGGCAUUGUGCACCAGGAACACUUGGAGGUCUGAAGUGAAAAAUUUCAACGUGGAAAAAAAAAAAAAAGUAGGAAAAGAUGUCACACAAGAAAUGGUGAAAAAAACUUUUUAAAAUUUUCUGUACGAAUGUUUGAAGCCAAGUGAAAAGUAAUGUUAUUGUCAGAAGAAGAAAUAUUUUUUCGUAUGUGUGAAACUGAGUUAAACAAUUAGUUUUCUGGACAAAAUGUGUUUUUUCAUGUGUGAGUGGGGAAAGUGAAACGAGUGAAAUUUAUGUUGUCAUGUGGGAAAAAAACAAUAAUUGAUGAUUGAUUGAACAAUUAAAAUUCUUUCAUGUGCAAAA